AUUUAUAUACAAAAAUCGUUUUGUAAAAUACAAAAAUCGAAUUUAUACACAAAAAUCGAAUUUAUAUACAAAAAUCGAUUUUAUAAAUACAAAAAAAAUAAAAAAUUUAUAAAAAAAUUCUAAAUCAAUUCAACAAAACAAAUUAUUCAACCAAAUCACAAUUCUAAACCUAUUAUACAACCAAAUCACAAUCCUAACCAAUCACCCUAACAAAAAUCUAUCAAAACUACACAAAAACCUAACAAAUAGAACCUAAGAGAGUGGGAU
rnacentral:lncRNA from 1 species